rnacentral:lncRNA from 1 species
CUACACCGUCUCCAGGCGCGACCCCUUGCAGCGCUAGGUCGUCGACGCCGUCGUGCGGUGCAAACCAGAGCCUUGAAGCCGACUCGCGCAUCUCGCCGCGGACAGGUAACGACACUCGACUCCACAGCCACCGUCCGUUGCAUCACCGCCGCCAAUCGCUCCCUCCGCGAAACCCUAACCCCUCACCGAGAAGACCCGUUACGUC